CUCACCUAAUGUUGAGCUCAUGAGUCACGACGAUGCUUGCAACUUCCGGAAGAAUCCUUAUACUGGAGAGAGAAUUUCGCCCUAAAAUUGAAGCUUCCUUUCCCACAUAUGAUCUCCAAGGGCAAUCAGUCGCUAUUAUAGGAUUGGGGAAGUCUGGGAUUGCAGCGGCUAAACUUGCUCUUGCUAGAGGUGCUUCAGUUCUCGCCCUUGACCAGAAUGAGACGUUGAAACCACUGGAGCAAACACUUUUAAAUGUUAAAGAUGGUCGUUUGAAGACAAUUCUUGGAUAUUUUGAUCAUGAGUUAUUUGACGAGGCCGAUCUCAUAGUUGUUUCCCCAGGAGUUGCUCUGGAAAAUUAUUGCCUAUCAUCUUUGUUGCAAUCUGGAAAGCGUGUGAUAUCUGAGUUGGAUUUUGCUGCUGAAGUACUCCCUCGAUGCACAAAGGUUUUGGCUGUCACAGGAACUAAUGGAAAAUCUACAGUGGCCACUUUUGCCGGACAGAUGCUCAACCAUUCCAACAUCAGAACAUUUGUUGGGGGAAAUCUUGGUAUUCCUCUCUCAGAAGCAGCUUUUGAGUGCUUGUUAUCACCUCAAGAACCUUACCAGGCUGCUGUAGUGGAAGUAAGCAGCUAUCAGCUUGAAAUUCCAAACAAGUUCUUCUCGCCUUCAGUUUCUGUGAUAUUAAAUCUCACUCCUGACCACCUAGAGAGACACAAGUCUAUGACUAAUUAUUCCACGAUCAAGUGCCGUGUACUUUCCCACAUGAGUGGCAGAAAGAUUGCCAUUCUUCCCAUGGGAAAUCCAUAUAUUACUGAAGCCAUUGCGAGUCAUGGAAAUGAAUGUAUGUUUGCUUGGAUUGGUGCUUAUCCUGGUGUCGAAGUUGACAUGGAGCAGAAAGUAGCCAACUUCAAUGUCCCCGGAAUUGGGCUUCUCUCGCAGUUGCCAUUGAAUGCAAUAAAGGCUGUUGGAACACACAAUUACUACAAUGCUGCCAUCGCUGCAUUAUCUGUUAUCGGGCUGGACGUUGGAAUUGAUACUGCAGCCAUUAGUUUGACAAUUGAUAGAUUAAAAGCUCCACCUCAUAGAAUGCAAAUUGUUCAUGAAGAUGGUAAUGGAGUAACCUGGGUAGAUGAUAGCAAGGCAACCAAUGUCGAAUCAACAUAUGCUGGCUUAACUGGUCUCAAAGAAAAGAAGGCUGUGGUUUUGCUUGGUGGUCUUUCAAAGAUUUUGGACGCCCAAGGUUCUAAUGGUUUCGAGCAUCUGAUAGAGCCAUUGAAGAACCACCGAGGUGUUGUCACUUUUGGUUCUUCAGGAUUGCUGAUCCAAGACACUCUAUCGUCUCAUGGUCUUGCCAUUCCUUGUUUACAAGCAAAAGAUCUUAAGGGCGCUGUGAGCUUAGCAAAGAACAUGGCAAAACCUGGGGAUGUCAUAUUACUGAGUCCAGGUUGUGCUAGUUUUGAUGAGUUCAUAAACUUUGAGCAUAGAGGAAAGUUCUUUCAAGAGCUUGCUCUAUCCAUGAAGGUCUAGUUGAGAGUUGAGACCAUCGACUUGAUUGUUGACGCUAGGAUUUUGAUCAAGGGGGACUUUACGAAAAUAGCCCUAUAAAAUGCGCAGAUUCUCUGAGAAAGCGGAUUUAACUGUGCCCUCUUAGCUGCAUAAUUUCCCGACAACACAUGCCCCAAGUGGAGUCUAUUUAUUUAUUUACAAGCCCUCCAAUAAUUCGUGCUUUUGCUAGCUUCCUAAUUAAAUUAGCGACCGCCCGCUUUCACCCAAAAAUAUCUAUUUCCGAUAUUUUUGUUUUUCUAUUUCUUGAUUAGAAUAACAUUUAUUAAGCAUUCUAGGGCAGCCUCACCCAUGAAUUAUAUUACUAGUACUUCAUUCUAUAAAAAUAAAGAUUCUUAUAUUUUAA